rnacentral:rRNA from 1 species
GACGAACGCUGGCGGCGUGCUUAACACAUGCAAGUCGAACGGAAAGGCCCUGCUUUUGUUGGGGGCUCGGGGGGCGAGCGGGUGGGAAACACGUGUGUAACGUGCCCGUGACGUUCGGAUAUCGUGUGGAAACUGGGGAUAAUAGGGCAUAUGAGCGUCUGCACCGCGGUGUGGGGUGGGAAGUGUGGGCUGUUGGGGAUGGACUCGGGGCUUAUCAGCUUGUUGGUGGGGUUGUGGCUUACGAAGGCUGCGACGGCUAGCGGGCCUGAGAGGGUGGCCGGCGACACUGGGACUAAGCGACGGCCCAGACGCCUACGGGAGGAAGCAGUGGGGAGUAUUGCACAGUGGCAGGGAGCCUGAGGCGGCAACGCCGCGUUCGGGAUGACGGCCUUCGUGUGGUAAACAGCUUUCGCCUUUGAUGAAGCGUGAGUGACGGUAAUGGGUAAAGAAGCACCGGCUAACUACGUG